AUGAACGCUAGCGACAGGCUUAACACAUGCAAGUCGAGGGGCAGCAUGAUUUGUAGCAAUACAGAUUGAUGGCGACCGGCGCACGGGUGAAUAACGCGUAUGCAACUUACCUAUCAGAGGGGGAUAGCCCGGCGAAAGUCGGAUUAAUACCCCAUAAAACAGGGGUCCCGCAUGGGAAUAUUUGUUAAAGAUUCAUCGCUGAUAGAUAGGCAUGCGUUCCAUUAGGCAGUUGGCGGGGUAACGGCCCACCAAACCGACGAUGGAUAGGGGUUCUGAGAGGAAGGUCCCCCACAUUGGUACUGAGACACGGACCAAACUCCUACGGGAGGCAGCAGUGAGGAAUAUUGGUCAAUGGCCGAGAGGCUGAACCAGCCAAGUCGCGUGAAGGAAGAAGGAUCUAUGGUUUGUAAACUUCUUUUAUAGGGGAAUAAAGUGGAGGACGUGUCCUUUUUUGUAUGUACCCUAUGAAUAAGCAUCGGCUAACUCCGUGCCAGCAGCCGCGGUAAUACGGAGGAUGCGAGCGUUAUCCGGAUUUAUUGGGUUUAAAGGGUGCGUAGGUGGUGAUUUAAGUCAGCGGUGAAAGUUUGUGGCUCAACCAUAAAAUUGCCGUUGAAACUGGGUUACUUGAGUGUGUUUGAGGUAGGCGGAAUGCGUGGUGUAGCGGUGAAAUGCAUAGAUAUCACGCAGAACUCCGAUUGCGAAGGCAGCUUACUAAACCAUAACUGACACUGAAGCACGAAAGCGUGGGGAUCAAACAGGAUUAGAUACCCUGGUAGUCCACGCAGUAAACGAUGAUUACUAGGAGUUUGCGAUACAAUGUAAGCUCUACAGCGAAAGCGUUAAGUAAUCCACCUGGGGAGUACGCCGGCAACGGUGAAACUCAAAGGAAUUGACGGGGGCCCGCACAAGCGGAGGAACAUGUGGUUUAAUUCGAUGAUACGCGAGGAACCUUACCCGGGUUUGAACGUAGUCUGACCGGAGUGGAAACACUCUUUCUAGCAAUAGCAGAUUACGAGGUGCUGCAUGGUUGUCGUCAGCUCGUGCCGUGAGGUGUCGGCUUAAGUGCCAUAACGAGCGCAACCCUUAUCACUAGUUACUAACAGGUGAAGCUGAGGACUCUGGUGAGACUGCCAGCGUAAGCUGUGAGGAAGGUGGGGAUGACGUCAAAUCAGCACGGCCCUUACAUCCGGGGCGACACACGUGUUACAAUGGCAUGGACAAAGGGCAGCUACCUGGUGACAGGAUGCUAAUCUCCAAACCAUGUCUCAGUUCGGAUCGGAGUCUGCAACUCGACUCCGUGAAGCUGGAUUCGCUAGUAAUCGCGCAUCAGCCAUGGCGCGGUGAAUACGUUCCCGGGCCUUGUACACACCGCCCGUCAAGCCAUGGGAGCCGGGGGUACCUGAAGUCCGUAACCGCAAGGAUCGGCCUAGGGUAAAACUGGUGACUGGGGCU
rnacentral:rRNA from 1 species